CUUGAUACGGAGUUGUUGAUUUCGCAGGUUCGUCAUCGUCAAUGGCCAUGUGAUCUUGGCCCAGCACCUCCUCCUUUUCCUCCUAUUCAUCUGCUACCAGCACAUCCUCCUAUACCGAUUUGUUGGCUUGUCGCACUUCCCCUACUACCACCUCUUUCGCCGCUACGUCGGAGCAUGUCUUGUGCAUAUGGCAAGGAGCAAGAAGUCGUGGCGCAGGCCUUCUUGUUGCUGCUCACAGCGGUGGACUUGGUGCUGCUCGGUCCUCCAAUCCUCGUUGAAGUCAGCACAGGCCUGGAUCUCCAUCCCGGCUCAGCAUGGCCAAAUCCGGCUUCUCUAGCGGCGAUGCUGAGAGAGGACUCAGAGGAAGAGGAGGCGGGCGCGAGCGCACGUCGGCGAGAGUGAGGGGGACGGGAGGGGAUUCAGCAGCGGUGGCCGACGGCGACGGGAAUCGCCAUCGCGGAGUAGCCGGGAAGGGAGGUGGCUCAUUAUAUGAGGGGCGCAAGGGUUUGGAGAGACUGCGCGAGUGCGAGGUAGGGACGCAGGGUGUGGGCCGGUGUGGCCCGAUCCAAGCCGUUUCGCAAGUGGACCGGUUCGCAAGUGUAACCGGUGCAUUUAAAAAAAAAGGAAUAAGUUCACCGGAGAUUACUCAAGUUACCAGCAAGAUUUUUUUAAGUCCUUUAACCAUAAAAUCAGAAAUCUUCACCCCUAAACUAUACAAAACGGUCUAAUUUAGGUCCCAUGAUAGUAUAUAUGCCUGGUUUCGCUGAUGUGGCAUCAUAGUUAGCAAAAAUAAUAAAAUAAAAAUGCGGGGCCCACAUGUCAGUGAGAGAAAAUAAUUUGGGCCCCGCUUCUCCAUUUUCCUUUAUUUUUCUCUUCUCUUCUCAACUUCUCACGCGCAGGCGGGCAGAUGCGGGUGUGCGGCCGACGGCGGAGCGGGCGCGGCGGCGAGCGCAGCGGGCGCUGCGGCGCGCGGGGAAGAAGCGGGAGAGGGGGAGUGGAGGCGGCCGGCGCCAGAGAAGGGGAGAGAGUCGGCCGGCGUGACCGCCUCUCCCCAUCCGGAGAUGCGGCGGAGCUGCCCCAAUGGUGGAGCCUCUAUAGUCUCUCCCCUCCACCACCCGCCGCGAUGUCUUCCGCUGCUCCGCCGCUGCCGCGCUCACCGGCGGCGACGCCCGACUCGACGGCGUCAACUGCCCGGACGCGCGUGGUCCGUGCGCCCUCACGACCGCCGCGGGCGCCACGCCGCCGGAGUGGGCGGAGCGCCGCCCCGCCGUGUCCGUGGACUACGACCGGGGCCAGCGCGAGGCCCGCGCCGAGGUGGAGGGCGUGGGCGCCGUGGCGUUCCCCGCGCGCCACCGCCUGCGCGUGGAGGGGAGCCGGUGGCAGCGGGACUGGAAGGUGUUGGAGGCCGCCGCGCGCGUGCUCGCGAUCCCGCGCGCCGAGGCCGGCGCUGUCGACGCCGUGCUCAACUGCUGGGCCGGCCGCUUCGCCCGCGGCAACUUCCCUCUCCUCAUCCGCCCGACUCCGCUCUCAGCCGCUGCCGCGGCGACUGCUGUAUCUCUCCCCACUGCGCCGGAAGCCGCGCCCGCUCCGCCGUCACCGCACACCCACGUCUACCCGCGUGUGAGAAGUUGAGAAGAGAAGAGAAAAAGAAAAGAAAAAAAGAGAUGUGGGCCCACAUCAUUUUCUCUCACUGACAUGUACUGACAUGUGGGCCCUCACAUAUUUAUUCUAUUAUUUUUUUCUAACUAGGAUACCACGUCAGCAAAACCAAAACCAGACAUAUAUACUGCCUUAGGACCUAAAUUAGACGGUUUUGUAUAGUAUAGGGGUGAAAUUUUCUAAUUUUGUGGUUAAGGGACCUCAAAAAACCUCGCUGUUAAGUUGAGGGACCUCCGGUGAAUUUAUUCCCCAAAAAAAACACCACGGACGGAAAAUUAGCGCAGCGAUUAGCUCGUAUGGAUGAAAAAUUAGUGCGGAUUAACAGUCGAAAAAUUUUGUGACGAUUGGAAAGUUGCAGAUUUUUUAAUUAGUUAAGAUUAUUACUAGCAAAGAUGUCCGUGCGUUACAACAUAUGAAAUUAAAUUUAUUUUCUAUGUGUACUUUGUGUUGUGCACCAAAAAAUAAGUAGGGCCAUGUUUAGAUCCGAAAUAUUUCUUCAAACUUCCAACUUUUCCAUCACAUCAAAACUUUCCUACACACACAAACUUCCAACUUUUCCGUCACAUCAUUUCAAUUUCAGCCACACUUUCAAUUUUAGCGUGAACUAAACACACCCUAGGUUCAAUAGGGCAAACCUCAACCAUGGCGGUGCCGCGGCGGAGGGAGCAAAAGGAAUACUAAUGAGUGGGUACGCACACCCCUAUUCAGAUCGGGGGCUGCCUUGCUUGGCCCUACUAAGCACACCAGCUUGCUUGGCCCUACUAAGCACACCAGCUCCCCAUCCAAAACCAUCCUCAUUCAUUCUUGAGUAAAUUUCACAAAACUACAUGUUUUAUGGUUCAAGUUGUAGAAAACCACAUACAUUUUGACACUUGCCACUUAAGUACAUAUAUUUUGGGAGUUUAGUUUCACAAAACCACACUAUCGAUGAAUGGAUUCACCCGUGAUAUGAUGUGGUUGUUUCAUCUAGUAUGAGGACGUGGCAUCAUAUUAAUUUCGUGCAAUGGCUGGUAAUAGGAUGCCAUGUCCUCGUCCUAGGUGAAACAACCACAUCAUCUCGCGGGUAAAUCUAUACAUCGAUAGUGUAGUACUACACAACCAAAAUAUAUGUACUCAAGUGCCAAGUGUCAAAGUGCGUGUGAUUUUCUGCAACUUGGACCACAAAACAUGUAGUUUUGUGAAAUUUACUCUU